CGCCGACUGACCGCGGCGGGCGCGUGCUCCCGGCAGGCUGUGCGCGUGCUCUCGGCAGGCUGUGCGCGGCCGUGAAUCUUCCACCCGCGCGUGAGGAGCUCACCGCCGCUGAGAGCGCGGGAGGCCGCCUCGCGAGUCCCAAACAGGUUUCUAAAACAACGAACUUAAUGAGACAACAGCCACCGCAGACCUGCGCUCUGUCAGCAAGAAGCCUGAGUUCUCGGAGGUGCAGUUAGUGUCUCAGGGUCCACGAUGCUCACAAAUGCUAGAAACCUAAGAUCAGGAAGGAGCUCAGCGACGCUCGCCCGGGUCUCCAGCAGCGAGCGGCCGACGCUCCUGCCGGAAGCAGCCGGGACACGGCGGCCGCGCGUGUUCUCCAGGCCUCCCCGCCCCCCUCCCCCCGCCUCCGAACCCGCAGGACAAAGACUGCGGGGUCGUCCAAGUCACUCAGGGAGUAGCGGCCUCGCAACACGGGAUCCCAGCAACUAAGCGUGCGCAGGGGUCGCCUCCCUUGACCGGGGCGACCAGAGGCGGGGACCCGAGGUUUGGUAACUCUUCUAUGGACACAGAAAAAUAUUGACCUGGAGAGAUUAUAGAAUCACUGGUAAGUGUAGGCCUAAGAUGCUGGCCCUCCCCUACUCUACAGAUGAUUGUGCCUGGACCAACAGCUUAAAUUUGGGGCACAGCUGAUACAGGUUGAG